rnacentral:tRNA from 1 species
GCGUCUGUAGCCAAGCGGUAUGGCAACCGGCUUUUACCCGGUAUAUCGUGAGUUCGAGUCUCGCCAGGCGCA